rnacentral:rRNA from 1 species
AGAGUUUGAUCCUGGCUCAGGAUGAACGCUGGCGGCGUGCUUAACACAUGCAAGUCGAACGAAGCAUUUUGGAUGAGAUCUUCGGAUGGAUUUUUAGAAUGACUUAGUGGCGGACGGGUGAGUAACGCGUGGGCAACCUGCCUUAUACAGGGGGAUAACAGUUAGAAAUGACUGCUAAUACCGCAUAAGCGCACGGCUCCGCAUGGAGCGGUGUGAAAAACUGAGGUGGUAUAAGAUGGACCCGCGUCUGAUUAGCUGGUUGGUGGGGUAACGGCCUACCAAGGCGACGAUCAGUAGCCGACCUGAGAGGGUGACCGGCCACAUUGGGACUGAGACACGGCCCAAACUCCUACGGGAGGCAGCAGUGGGGAAUAUUGCACAAUGGGGGAAACCCUGAUGCAGCGACGCCGCGUGAGUGAAGAAGCAUUUCGGUAUGUAAAGCUCUAUCAGCAGGGAAGAAAAUGACGGUACCUGACUAAGAAGCCCCGGCUAACUACGUGCCAGCAGCCGCGGUAAUACGUAGGGGGCAAGCGUUAUCCGGAUUUACUGGGUGUAAAGGGAGCGUAGACGGCGAGGCAAGUCUGAAGUGAAAGCCCGGGGCUUAACCGCGGGACUGCUUUGGAAACUGUCAUGCUAGAGUGCUGGAGAGGUAAGUGGAAUUCCUAGUGUAGCGGUGAAAUGCGUAGAUAUUAGGAGGAACACCAGUGGCGAAGGCGGCUUACUGGACAGUAACUGACGUUGAGGCUCGAAAGCGUGGGGAGCAAACCAGGAUUAGAUACCCUGGUAGUCCACGCCGUAAACGAU